rnacentral:rRNA from 1 species
CGUAGGCAGCGAGCGUUGUUCGGAGUUACUGGGCGUAAAGCGUGCGUAGGCGGUCUUGUAAGUCUGGUGUGAAAUCUCCCGGCUCAACUGGGAGGGUGCGCCGGAAACUGCAAGGCUGGGGUAUGGGAGAGGUAGGCGGAAUUCCUGGUGUAGCGGUGAAAUGCGUAGAUAUCAGGAGGAACACCUGUGGUGUAGACGGCUUACUGGACCAUGACUGACGCUGAGGCACGAAAGCGUGGGGAGCAAACAGGAUUAGAUACCCUGGUAGUCCACGCCCUAAACGAUGCAUACUUGGUGUGGGCAAUUCAUUUUGUCCGUGCCGGAGCUAACGCGUUAAGUAUGCCGCCUGGGGAGUACGGUCGCAAGGCUG